rnacentral:RNase_P_RNA from 1 species
UGAGUAGGAUGGAUGAUCGCUGCCGUGCAAACGAAAGGGCACGGGAGAGGAAAGUCCGGGCUUCACAGGGCAGGAUGCCAGAUAACGUCUGGUGGAGGCAACUCCCAGGAUAGUGCAACAGAGAUAUACCGCGUUAGCAAUGAGACACGCGGCUGGAAUGGGAUGGGACAUAUUCACGCUUGCGUGAAAUAUGGCACAGAACAUUUCAGUCAUGCGGCGAAUGCCGCGUAACGAGGAACGCUUGCGUUCCGAGUCCGCGUUUUGUCUGGCUGGCGUAAGGGUGGAAAGGCAGUGUAAGAGACUACCGUGCUGGUGGUAACAUCAGUAGCCAUGUAAACCCCAUUCGAAGCAAGACCGAAAAGAAAGCAAUGAGCCGGCCCGGUUCGCUUUCAGGUGGGUCGCUUGAGACUGUCGGUGAC